AUACUCACAAAUUUCUGAGGAAAAUCGUAUAGAUCUGGAAGAGGAAGGCACUAGGGAUUUUUAGAGAGAGAGAGAACGAAGUUUGGUUCAGAUUUGAGAGAGAAUAAAAGCCCUGUAACCGGUUAUAUUUCCGCGGCUACAGUAACCGUACCGGUACACGGGAUUGUGUACAGGUACACAUCCCCAGAUUUCGAAAAAUUUACUUUAAAAAUCCAUCAAAUUAAAUUAAAUUCAUAUAAAUUAAGGAUUUUACUUCAAAUAUCAUUAAAAUGAGAAUAAAUCAUUAUAAGAUUUCAAAAUACAUCGAAACAUCAAAAUUUCAUUAUAAAAAAUGAUCUCAAGUUUCAAAAUCAUCAAGAUGUAACGGUUUACGAAAAAAUAAUUUUUAGAAAUUCGGCAAAAUAGACACCAAUUUGUCGCAAUCCGUUCAAAAUAGAGAUUUAACUAAUAUAAUACUGGGGGGUGGCUCUUUGAGCAUCUUUUUCAAACUAUCACCUUAUAACUCCGAAAAUUCUAAACUAUUCAAAUUUUUCUCAACCUUUUCGGUUAAUCAAUUCAAUCUUUAUGUGGUAGCUUCACACACUUGCCGGACGACCGGGGUGGUAGCUCUUUCCUACAUGUGGUGGUAGUUUUCACACUCCUUUUGGAUGUAACUCUUUUCACAUCUUUUUAAACAUAGGAGUUUUCUCCAUUUUUUUUAAUAAAUUCAAACUCUCUCUAAAUUAGACAAUCUUACAAUUGAAAAUAUCUUGACAAAUUUUAGUCUAUUAGCGAAUAUCCAUCUAUCAUAUUCAACACACACAACCGAGAUAGAUUAAUCACCAAGAGAUCAAAUUUGAUUUCAAAAUUUUAAUGAAUAUAUGUAUUAAGAAAUCAUAUAUUAAAUUAUCGUCAAAAUAAUAAAAAAUGGAAUAAAAACGAUAAUUAAUAUGAAUUUAACUUAAUAUGAUUGUGAAGUUAAGUACUGUUUAAGCGACAUUGAAAAAUUUCUCUCCUCAAAAUAAUGAUUCUCAAUCAUCUCCUUUCUCAAAAAUUUUGAAUUUUUAAACACCUUUCCUCAAAAUGAAUUUUAAACAAACAAAAUUCAAAGCACCAAAAUUCAUUUAAACAU
rnacentral:lncRNA from 1 species